UACGUAGGGUGCGAGCGUUGUCCGGAAUUAUUGGGCGUAAAGAGCUCGUAGGCGGCUUGUCGCGUCGGAUGUGAAAGCCCGGGGCUUAACUCCGGGUCUGCAUUCGAUACGGGCAGGCUAGAGUUCGGUAGGGGAGAUCGGAAUUCCUGGUGUAGCGGUGAAAUGCGCAGAUAUCAGGAAGAACACCCGUGGCGAAGGCGGCUCUCUGGGACGGUACUGACGCUGAGACGCGAAAGCGUGGGGAGCGAACAGG
rnacentral:rRNA from 1 species